UGUUUACCAAAAACAUAGCCCUAGACAAUAUCUAAGGUGUAACCUGCCCAGUGAUUUUAAAAUUAAAGUAUUUAAAUAAUAUUUAAUAAAAUUAAAAGGACGCGGUAACCUUGACCGUGGUAAUGUAGCAUAAUCAUUCGCCAUUUAAUUGAUGGAUAGUAUGAAUGGUUGAACGAAUAUUUCACUGUCUUGGAUAGAAAUUAUUAAAAAUUGAAAUAAUAGUAAAGAUGCUAUUUCAAAUUGUAAGACGAAAAGACCCUAUAGAGCUUAACUAUAAUUUCUCUAAAAAUAAUAAUAAAAUAAAUUAUUAUAUAGGGAAUGUAGGUAGUUUAGUUGGGGCGACUGUCUUCUAGAAUAAACGAAGAUAAGCAAUUAUUAAAGAUUAAUUUAUUGUAUAAUCAAUAUAUUUAACAAUUAUGAAAGUAGGUUUAGUGACCCGUUAUAUUUUUAUAAUAAAGAAUAACGAUCAAUAAAUAAAAGCUACCUUAGGGAUAACAGGAUAAUUUUAUCUUAGAGAUCUUAU
rnacentral:rRNA from 1 species